UACAGGUCUGGGACCUAGUUUUGCGCUGC
rnacentral:piRNA from 1 species